GAUGAACGCUGGCGGCGUGCCUAAUACAUGCAAGUCGAGCGAACAGACGAGGAGCUUGCUCCUCUGACGUUAGCGGCGGACGGGUGAGUAACACGUGGAUAACCUACCUAUAAGACUGGGAUAACUUCGGGAAACCGGAGCUAAUACCGGAUAAUAUAUUGAACCGCAUGGUUCAAUAGUGAAAGACGGUUUUGCUGUCACUUAUAGAUGGAUCCGCGCCGCAUUAGCUAGUUGGUAAGGUAACGGCUUACCAAGGCAAUGAUGCGUAGCCGACCUGAGAGGGUGAUCGGCCAAACUGGAACUGAGACACGGUCCAGACUCCUACGGGAGGCAGCAGUAGGAAAUCUUCCGCAAUGGGCGAAAGCCUGACGGAGCAACGCCGCGUGAGUGAUGAAGGUCUUCGGAUCGUAAAACUCUGUUAUUAGGGAAGAACAAAUGUGUAAGUAACUAUGCACGUCUUGACGGUACCUAAUCAGAAAGCCACGGCUAACUACGU
rnacentral:rRNA from 1 species